rnacentral:rRNA from 1 species
GCCCAGACUCCUACGGGAGGCAGCAGUGGGGAAUAUUGCACAAUGGGGGAAACCCUGAUGCAGCGACGCCGCGUGAGCGAAGAAGUAUUUCGGUAUGUAAAGCUCUAUCAGCAGGGAAGAAAUUGACGGUACCUGAGUAAGAAGCUCCGGCUAAAUACGUGCCAGCAGCCGCGGUAAUACGUAUGGAGCAAGCGUUAUCCGGAUUUACUGGGUGUAAAGGGAGCGUAGGCGGCCUGCCAAGUCUGAUGUGAAAGACCGGGGCUCAACCCCGGGGCUGCAUUGGAAACUGGCAGGCUGGAGUGUCGGAGAGGCAGGCGGAAUUCCUAGUGUAGCGGUGAAAUGCGUAGAUAUUAGGAGGAACACCAGUGGCGAAGGCGGCCUGCUGGACGAUGACUGACGCUGAGGCUCGAAAGCGUGGGGAGCAAACAGGAUUAGAUACCCGUGUA